rnacentral:rRNA from 1 species
CAGCAGCCGCGGUAAUACGGAGGGUGCAAGCGUUGUCCGGAAUCAUUGGGCGUAAAGAGUUCGUAGGCGGUAUGUUAAGUCUGGUGUUAAAGGCAGAAGCUCAACUUCUGUAAGGCACUGGAUACUGGCAAACUUGAAUGUGGUAGAGGUAAAGGGAAUUCCUGGUGUAGCGGUGAAAUGCGUAGAUAUCAGGAGGAACAUCGGUGGCGAAAGCGCUUUACUGGGCCAUAAUUGACACUGAGGAACGAAAGCCGGGGUAGCAAAUGGGAUUAGAUACCCCAGUAGUCCCGGCCGUAAACGAUGGAUACUAGGUGUUGCGGGUAUCGACCCCUGCAGUGCCAUAGCUAACGCGAUAAGUAUCCCGCCUGGGGAGUACGCACGCAAGUGUGAAACUCAAAGGAAUUGACGG